rnacentral:rRNA from 1 species
UUUGUCCUACGGGGGGCAGCAGUCGGGAAUAUUGCGCAGUGGAGGAAACUCUGACGCAGUGACGCCGCGUAUAGGAAGAAGGUUUUCGGAUUGUAAACCUCUGUCUUCGGUGACGAAACGAGACGGUAGCCGAGGAGGAAGCCACGGCUAACUACGUGCCAGCAGCCGCGGUAAUACGUAGGUGGCAAGCGUUGUCCGGAAUUACUGGGUGUAAAGGGAGCGUAGGCGGGAAAGCAAGUUGAAUGUUUAAGGUACGGGCUCAACCUGUACAAGCGUUCAAAACUGUUUUUCUUGAGUGGAGUAGG